rnacentral:rRNA from 1 species
UACGAAGGGUGCAAGCGUUACUCGGAAUUACUGGGCGUAAAGCGUGCGUAGGUGGUUUGUUAAGUCUGUUGUGAAAGCCCCGGGCUCAACCUGGGAAUGGCAAUGGAUACUGGCAGGCUAGAGUGCGGUAGAGGGUAGUGGAAUUCCCGGUGUAGCGGUGAAAUGCGUAGAGAUCGGGAGGAACACCAGUGGCGAAGGCGGCUACCUGGACCAGCACUGACACUGAGGCACGAAGGCCAGGGGAGCAAACAGG